UGUGAUUCGCGGCGGUGUUCAUGUUCAGAUUGUGGCAUGAUGAUGACUAUGGCACAGGUGGUCAAGGGCAUGGUUAUGUCCUGGGAGCUCAUUUCGAUGACGGCGACCGUUUGCUUGCCUACUAUGGCGGCCAGCACGAUUUGGAGGUUAGAAGGUUGUAGGUCAUAACACCCAGGAGACAACAGUUAUUCAUCACACAUUUGGUGGUCGUCAGCAAUCUUGGGUCCCCUUUGUUUUCAUGUUUGAUUUAAUAUUUCAAAUUAUAAUCAAUGAGUCUGCCUUUCUGAUCGCUCUAUUUUUAAUCAGCUCUAAAUUCUUAAGGGAUCUGUCUUCCAGUAUGCAUAUGUUACAAUUCAUCAAAUGCCUUAGUUUUGAAUGGGAUGUGCAGGUUCAAUGUACUGCAUGUGGAAUGGUCUCAAAUCGCUAUGAGAAUAUGACGGAUGGACUUGACUGUUGAAAUUUAGUUCAUUGAUGUAGAGUGGCUUUAUGGGGACAAUAAGUCCAAAUGUGAUUUACCGCAUCUAUACACUUCUGUUACUUAGCAACAAAUGUUACUGGUUCAUAUUUUGAUAUAAUAUUUAGAGAUUAUCUUUCUUUGCCAUACAUGUUAUGCUUAAGUUCUUAGAAACAAAAUAAAAAAUAUUUUCAUAAAGCCAUUAAGGAACAAAAAAAACUGAAAUCCUUAUUAAUAGCAACAUAAUGACAUCUAAAUCUGUACAUAUAGUUUUGGUAAUCUCUUCUAGAAACAAUCUGUAGAUUGUUACAUCAGGUUAAAACUCUAUGUACUUAUUGCUGCUGUACACAAGCUGUUGACCUUGCUCUGUUUUCUUUCUUGGUUGAAUUUGCAGACUAGGACACACAUCCUGCUACAUCCCAAAGUUUUUUUUUUCGGACAUAGUGAUGCUGAAAGAAUCAGAAAAUUCAGUGUUAAUCCUAAUAUAGGACAAUUUUUUGAAUUUUUGCUGUUGUUGGUCGUCGUCACCGCUCCUUCCCUCCACGUCAAAGACCUUAUGGUCGAGCUCGUCUCAUGGUAGUCGCCGAGCUCAUCUGGAUUGAAGAUCUAUGUGUGCAAUUUGGUUUGAAUAUCGCCCUUCCUUGAUGUACCCUCUCUCUCCUACCCACCAUGGGAAUUUUUGGCACAUAUUCGAUCCAGAUGCAUGAGUAUUGCUGAGAUCUUUCGAUGAUUCUGCUAGCACUUUAAUAUGGACCUCUGGAAUAUUGUUUUGAUUUUGUUAGCACUACCAUGCACUGAUUAGGUCACUUGUUGAGUUAUUCCAGAAUCUAUUAUUCUUUUUUGCAUUGAGUUUCUUUGGUUGAAACUGUCACCUGUGCCUAUGUCUAAUAAUUCUUAAAUAUAUCAAUAUAUCUGCUCCGUCUACAGAGAAUAGGGGGCUGCUCGGGCAUGGAGCAGCCGGGCAUGUCAAUAUAGUUUGGAGUCUGGGAAAGGGAGUGUUCUGCACCUAGGUAAAUUAGCAACACAGUACACCUACUUCUCAAAAUAUGCAUGUUUGGAGAUUAGUUUUUAUUUUCUUCGGAUCUCUAUAGAAUUUUUGUCUGAAUAACUAAAAGUAUUUAUUCACACUACUUUGAUUUCUGAAAAUUUCGGUCUUUAAAGAUAUAUUCCAUUUUCUUUCAGAAUAGGAUGCACUUUCCUUACAGGACAGACAACAUGGAUAAGAAUGUGUACAUAGCAUCUUUUUAUGCAUAGAUUCAAGCUUAAGGCUUUGGACAGGUUUGAGGAUACAUCUGGUCCCUUUGAUUGUGGCUUCAUAUUUUUCAGCAAGUCUAGCAUGGUGUGCACAGGUUUUUGCAGAAACAUAGUACAGAUGGAAAUGUGACAAGAGUGAAGCUGCCAAAAAUUGACUAUAAGUUGGCUGCCAUGGACAUGCAAAUUCAGACAUGCUCUGACAGAACUCUGUUUCAUGCAAAUUCAGAUAUGCUUUGCAUUUUUUUGUAGGAAUUUUAAGCUCUAAAGAAAUAAUUAUUCAGACUGCAAGUUUUUUGUUUUGGGUUUCACAAAACUGGACAGGCCUGUUUGCAGGACAACAACAUCUAUAAUGUAGAAAGUCGAUCCAUCGUGCAAAGAUUUGGUUCGUUUGCAAAGAGCAGUUAAUCUGCAUCAGGGACACAGAGUUUAUAUUGCAUCAUCUGUUGUUACUGCAUCGUUGCUCCCUAAUCCAAGCAAUGAAAUUAUUCAUCUGUCAUCUCACCAGGA